GAUGAACGCUGGCGGCGUGCCUAAUACAUGCCAGUCGAGCGAACAGACGAGGAGCUUGCUCCUCUGACGUUAGCGGCGGACGGGUGAGUAACACGUGGAUAACCUACCUAUAAGACUGGGAUAACUUCGGGAAACCGGAGCUAAUACCGGAUAAUAUAUUGAACCGCAUGGUUCAAUAGUGAAAGACGGUUUUGCUGUCACUUAUAGAUGGAUCCGCGCCGCAUUAGCUAGUUGGUAAGGUAACGGCUUACCAAGGCAACGAUGCGUAGCCGACCUGAGAGGGUGAUCGGCCACACUGGAACUGAGACACGGUCCAGACUCCUACGGGGGGCAGCAGUAGGGAAUCUUCCGCAAUGGGCGAAAGCCUGACGGAGCAACGCCGCGUGAGUGAUGAAGGUCUUCGGAUCGUAAAACUCUGUUAUUAGGGAAGAACAAAUGUGUAAGUAACUAUGCACGUCUUGACGGUACCUAAUCAGAAAGCCACGGCUAACCACGUG
rnacentral:rRNA from 1 species